rnacentral:rRNA from 1 species
UAAGACAUAAGGUGCGAGCGUUAUCCGGAAUCACUGGGCGUAAAGGGCAUCUAGGCGGUUUAUUAAGUCAGGGGUGAAAAGCCGAAGCUCAACUUUGGUCUUGCCUUUGAAACUGAUAGACUAGAAUACGGGAUAGGAGGGCGGAACUACAAGUGUAGAGGUGAAAUUCGUAGAUAUUUGUAGGAAUGCCGAUGACGAAGGUAGCUCUCUGGACCGAUAUUGACGCUGAAGUGCGAAAGCUAGGGUAGCAAACAGGAUUAGAUACCCUGGUAGUCCUAGCUGUAAACGAUGAUUACUGGGUGUGGGGGGUCGAACCUCUGUGCCGAAGCUAACGCGAUAAGUAAUCCGCCUGGGGAGUACGGUCGCAAGACUGAAACUCAAAUGAAUUGACGG